rnacentral:rRNA from 1 species
ACACUAUAUAUUUAAUUAAUUAAUUUUUAUAUAUCAUUAUAAAUAAAUAAAUUUUAAAAUAUUAUUUUUAAAUUAUUUAAUAAAAUAAAUUAAAUCAAGAUAUAGAAUAAUUAAUUAUUAAUGAAUUAUAUUUAAUUGGAUUAAAUAAAAUUUAAAUUAAAUUUUUAAAUUUGUUAAAAUUUUAAAGUAAUUUUAUUAAGUUAAAUAGAAUGAAUUUAUUUAUUAUUAUGUACAAAUUGCCCGUCAAUUUUAAUUAAAAAAUAAGUCGUAACAAAGUAAAUAUAUUGGAAAAUGUAUUUAAUA